rnacentral:lncRNA from 1 species
GGGAAUUCCAGUGAUUUCAGCAGUUACACUGGCAUACAACUGAUACAAAGAAGUGAUGAAUCAGACUCUGUAGAAGAAAUCCUAGCCCAUUGAAUUCAGCAGGAAUUCUGCCAUUGACCUCAAGAGAGAAACGUUUUUACUGAUAGUUCUGAGGAAGACAGUUUCACAAAGCUCGCAGUAAAGAAGAGUGUGUAUCACUUCCUCCCUUGUGACUAAUCCUGCUCCCUUUACUGACUUUGCUCUGAUAUCUGGGAAGCCUCAGAAAACCUAUCUGCCACCAGA